rnacentral:rRNA from 1 species
AGUAACGGCGAGUGAAGCGGCAACAGCUCAAAUUUGAAAUCUGGCCCUUGGGUCCGAAUUGUAAUUUGUAGAGGAUGAUUUUGGUGCGGUAUCUUCCGAGUUCCUUGGAACAGGACGCCUUAGAGGGUGAGAGCCCCGUACGGUUGAAUGCCUAGCCUCUGUAAAUCUCCUUCGACGAGUCGAGUAGUUUGGGAAUGCUGCUCUAAAUGGGAGGUAAAUUUCUUCUAAAGCUAAAUAUUGGCCAGAGACCGAUAGCGCACAAGUAGAGUGAUCGAAAGAUGAAAAGCACUUUGAAAAGAGGGUUAAAUAGCACGUGAAAUUGUUGAAAGGGAAGGAUUUGUGACCAGACUUUUUCUGGGCGGAUCAUCCGGGGUUCUCUCCGGUGCACUUCGCCCAGUAAAGGCCAGCAUCGGUUUUCGGCGUGGGAUAAAAGCAGUAGGAAUGUGGCUCUCUACGGGGAGUGUUAUAGCCUAUUGUAUAAUACCGCGCUGGGGACCGAGGUUCGCGCUUCUGCAAGGAUGCUGGCGUAAUGGUUAUCAAUCACCCGUCUUGAAACACGGACCAAGGAGUCGAACAUUUGUGCGAGUGUUUGGGUGUUAAACCCUCACGCGUAAUGAAAGUGAACGGAGGUGAGAGCCCUUACGGGUGCAUCAUCGACCGAUCCUGAAGUUUUCGGAUGGAUUUGAGUAAGAGCAUAACUGUUCGGACCCGAAAGAUGGUGAACUAUGCGUGGAUAGGGUGAAGCCAGAGGAAACUCUGGUGGAGGCUCGCAGCGGUUCUGACGUGCAAAUCGAUCGUCAAAUCUGCGCAU